GUGAACGCCCUCACGGGCUUAAUAAACUAUUCCAAACCUCUGUGAACCGUGCCCUUCGGGCUAUUUUACAAACAUGGUGUAAUGAACGUCAUAUAUCAUAACAAAACA
rnacentral:misc_RNA from 1 species